rnacentral:sRNA from 1 species
ACCGUCUGCCUUUCUUGGACGUUUCCUCCCUAGACUUGGGCCGCGCUUCGUGCGCGGCCUUUUUUUGUCCGCGGC